CAAUAGCGUAUAUUAAAGUUGUUGCAGUUAAAAAGCUCGUAGUUGGAUUUGUGGCGUACGGUGUGUUCCGGGCACUUGUUGUCUGAGUAACCUGCUGUUGCCAUCCUUGGGUGGAACCUGUGUGGCAUUAGGUUGUCGUGCAGGGGAUGCCCAUCAUUUACUGUGAAAAAAUUAGAGUGUUCAAAGCAGGCUUAUGCCGUUGAAUAUAUUAGCAUGGAAUAAUGAGAUAGGACUUUUUUGCUAUUUUGUUGGUUUGCGCAAAGAGGUAAUGAUUAAUAGGGACAGUUGGGGGUAUUCGUAUUCCAUUGUCAGAGGUGAAAUUCUUGGAUUUUUGGAAGACGAACUACUGCGAAAGCAUUUACCAAGGAAGUUUUCAUUAA
rnacentral:rRNA from 1 species